AGUGAACGCUGGCGGUAGACCUAACACAUGCAAGUCGAACGGCAGCACAGUAAGAGCUUGCUCUUACGGGUGGCGAGUGGCGGACGGGUGAGGAAUACAUCGGAAUCUACUUUUUCGUGGGGGAUAACGUAGGGAAACUUACGCUAAUACCGCAUACGACCUACGGGUGAAAGCAGGGGAUCUUCGGACCUUGCGCGAUUGAAUGAGCCGAUGUCGGAUUAGCUAGUUGGCGGGGUAAAGGCCCACCAAGGCGACGAUCCGUAGCUGGUCUGAGCGGAUGAUCAGCCACACUGGAACUGAGACACGGCCCAGACUCCUACGGGAGGCAGCAGUGGGGAAUAUUGGACAAUGGGCGCAAGCCUGAUCCAGCCAUACCGCGUGGGUGAAGAAGGCCUUCGGGUUGUAAAGCCCUUUUGUUGGGAAAGAAAAGCAGCAGGUUAAUACCCCGCUGUUCUGACGGUACCCAAAGAAUAAGCACCGGCUAACUUCGUG
rnacentral:rRNA from 1 species